rnacentral:rRNA from 1 species
CCACGGCAAACGGGUUCGGAAUACAUAGGAAUUUUCCUCAGAGUCGUGAAUAAUUCGGAGAAAUCCGAGCUAAUACACGAUACGCUCUACGGAGUAAAGAUUUAUCGCUUUGAGAUGAGCCUGUGUCCUAUCAGCUUGUUGGUGAGGUAAAAGCCCACCAAGGCUAUGACGGGUAGGGGGUGUGAGAGCAUGACCCCCAACAUUGGAACUGAGACACUGUCCAAACACCUACGGGUGGCUGCAGUCGAGAAUAUUCCACAAUGGACGAAAGUCUGAUGGAGCGACGCCGCGUGCGGGAUGAAGGCCCUCGGGUUGUAAACCGCUUUUUUCAGGGAGCAAUUUCGAUGAGAGUACCUGAAGAAUAAGAGGUUACUAACUCUGUGCCAGCAGUAGCGGUAAUACAGAGACCUCAAGCGUUAUCCGGAUUUAUUGGGCGUAAAGCGCAGGUAGGCGGGUUUAUUAGUCGGAUGUCAAAGACCGGGGCUCAACUCCGGGAAGGCAUUCGAAACGGUAUACCUAGAGAAUGUGAGAGAUGAGUGGAAUUCAUGGUGUAGUAGUGAAAUGCGUUGAUAUCAUGAGGAACACCGAAA